rnacentral:tRNA from 1 species
UAAUAAGAAGCGAAAUAUUGCACUCAGUUUCGACCUGAAAAUUGGCAUCUAAUGCCCUUAUUAA